CCAACACACCACAGGACACAGCUGAGCCCCUCAGCCAAGAUGGUAGUUGGUGCUUGGGGAAAAUGUGUUUAAGAAAGGGCAGAAGACACCACACAGGGAAUACACACGAAUUAUGCGCAUUAUGAAAGUCCAGAAAGAAGGAAGCUCAUACCUUACUAUUCACUAGAGAAUCUGCAAGAGACACUGACCAAACAAUGGAUCCUGUGAUGCACACACAGUAAGAUGAUUCACACAAGCCAAGGACCUUUCCAUGCUGUGGUUCUCAAAGGACACGGGUGCUACAAGAUCCAUUUAAAAUGUCUCUGCUGCUUGGCUUGCCCUGACAUCCACUUCCCUGUCUCUGUUUCUGCCACAACAAUUCACAAAAAAAUCAAGUGCUGUUUUUGAAGUAUUUUACAGAGGACUAGUUCUCAGUGCUGUGAUCUACAGCACAGAUUUUCUCCCAGAUGUAGUAGGAUAGACCCACUCCUGUCUUCAC